rnacentral:rRNA from 1 species
AUCGAACGCUGGCGGCAGGCUUAACACAUGCAAGUCGAGCGAGCGGCGGACGGGUGAGUAAUGUAUGGGGACUGCCCGAUAGAGGGGGAUAACUACUGGAAACGGUGGCUAAUACCGCAUACUAUCGGAUAACCCAUAUGGGAUUAGCUAGUAGGUGGGGUAAAGGCUCACGUGGGCGACGAUCUCUAGCUGGUCCGAGAGUAUGAUGAGCCAGACUGGAAUGGAGACACGGCCACGUUUCCGUGGGAGGCAGCAGUGGGGAUUGUGAGACAUUGAGCACAAGCCUGAUGGAGCCUUGCCGCGUGAAUGAAGAAGGCCUUGGGGUUGUAAAGUGUUUUCAGCGGGAAGGCGUUACCCGCAGAAGAAGCACCGGCUAACUCCGUGCCAGCAGCCGCGGUAAUUC